rnacentral:lncRNA from 1 species
AAAGGAAUGUAUUAAAUUAUAAAAAGUCACAUCUCACUAGCUACGCUAGCUAAAUAGCGAGAUAGCUAAAAGUAAAAAUAGUUAAACUUUGGUUAGUCUGCUGGAGCUCCUACAAUACCCAAAAAGCUAAACAUGCUCUCUAAAAUAGUUAAAAAAACUAAAAUAGAGAGUCUGAUAAAGAUGCUCUGAUCCUUAUUGAUUUUUUUUAAUCAAUCAACAAUUUUAUUGCUCAACAAUGGGCAGAAGGCACAAUACAUCACAUGUCGUGUUCUACAAGAUAAGUUGAAGUAGAAGCUACAAGCAUGCAAAAGAGUAAUUACAAGCAUGCAAAAGAGUAAUAUCUUCAUUGUUAAUAAAGUUCAAAUUAAGAGAGCCUCACACAUAGGAAGAAAAAAAACCACACUACCUAACCCAGGACAAGAGAAUGUUAGCUGCCUAGAGACCUCAAUUAGUGUACACCUAGUAAAUUGAAAACCAAGUACCAUUGUUUCCUUCCCAUGCUCAGGUGACGUAGCCUAACAUCUACGUCUUGUUGGCACUCAUUUCCACAUCAACAGCAACAUACAGAGACAACCCCAACCCAUGUUCAACCAUCCAUACCCAAAACAGGCUCAAGCCCAAACAGAGCCUAAAUCCAAUCAGGGGUCCUCUUCCCUGUAGCUAUGCCGCCGUUGCCAGUGCCCAGCAGCUUCCGACCCCGACUGUAGGCCAACCUUGCACCGUCUCAGCUCCCUCCCCAUCCUUGCAUGUGACACGGCCAUCGCCACUAUCCGGCAAAUUCAGCACCGACAACACAAUCCAAUUGACCUACUUCAAAGACCUUGGUGUUAGCCGCUGUCUCCCAAACCCAACGACCGCCAUACCUGCAUCAAAGACCAGUCUGCCUAAUUGAUGAUGAAUUGAAAGACAUAAUUAUUUGGAGACGUAAAAAUUUAUGAGGAGUUAAAGGAAACGUUUUUGUCCAAUUUAAAAAUGGGAGCAGACACAAGGUACACUUGCCAUCAAUAUGCAAGUCACCCGAUCGAAGAUGCGAAGAUAGAAUGAAGACUGGAAACCCUAGCCUCAAUUCCUUCCUCUGGCCUUUUCAUUUUUGAUCUGAUUAGAUUAAACACUCAUAACUUUUUUGACAUAUGGUCCUCACCUCCUGUAUUUGAAACGAUUAGACUAGUUUUUAGGGUUUCGAUUUUGUUAACGGCGUUCACAUAUACACAUGAUAAUGUCACAUAGAUGGCUUAAUCAAUAAAAUGUUAAGAUUGCAUAUUAAAUGUUUGGUUCACUUGCACCUAUUGGUUAGUACAAGAAUUUUCGUUUAAAAACAUCUAUAAUGAGUGGACUUCCAUGUUGAUCAUGAAGGUUAUCUAAUCAGCAUGAAAUCAUUAAUCUCCCCUUGAUGGUGAAUUAUAUAUGUGGUUUUGCUUUUGUGUGGAUUUUAGAACGACAUUGUUUUCAUCUUUGGC